rnacentral:rRNA from 1 species
UUGACUCACGCGGGAAUCUUACCGGGUCCGGACACACUGAGGAUUGACAGGUUUCGAGAGUUUUUUUGGAGUUCGCUCCAGAAUGCUCUCUUAAAUAUGCUAGUCCUUUCAUGAUUAUGUGAUAGGUGGUGCAUGGCCGUUCUUAGUUCGUGGAGUGAUCUGUCUGCUUAAUUGCGUUUCACUAAAGGCGUCAUUAUAUUUUUGUGCUUGUGUUUGACCCCUCUUUCUUCGGAUUGAGCGCGUGUCUUUCACACACAAUUACUUUGACGUCUGAAAGCAACGAACGUGACCGUAACCUCUUGUUGCCUUCUCUUCUCUUCGGAGAAUGCUAGUUUUUUUCUUCGGAUAAAUUCUAGUAUAUGGAGGCUUUUACUCAAACUAGAGGGACCGCUGUUACUUUCUUUAAACCAGAGGAAGGUUGCGGCAAUAACAGGUCUGUGAUGC